AGGUUGCAGUAAAGUCGAAGCGUUGGAAGCCGCGUCGUUACAUCCAGCUCAAUUACUUAAAAUAUCAGAUCGUAAAGGAACAUUAAAUUAUGGUGCGGAUGCAGAUAUUAUUCUUUUAAAUAAUGACUUGGAAAUACAAGCAACUUUCAUUGCUGGUAAUUUAGUAUGGUUGAACAAUACAAAUACACUAGCCCAAGAAAUAUUUCAUUGCUGGUAAUUUAGUAUGGUUGAACAAUACAAAUACACUAGCCCAAGAAAUAUUUCAUUGCUGGUAAUUUAGUAUGGUUGAACAAUACAAAUACACUAGCCCAAGAAAUAUUUAAUUGCUGGUAAUUUAGUAUGGUUGAACAAUACAAAUGCACUAGCCAAAGAAAUAUUUCAUUGCUGGUAAUUUAGUGAAAAUGAUUGUACGUUAUUUUCAUGAUUAGUGGUCACAAUGGAUCUAAAUAUUUUUUCCAUCCCAAUCUUGUUUCCGUAGUUUACUUUCUCUGUAUCUCUCUGUACUGACAGUACUGACAGUACUGUAUAUCCCAUCCCGAACUUCCUUCAUGUCAAUUGUUCAUUUUCAUAAAUGACAUUAGUCGUUAUACAGUUACUAUAGCUAGCUAUGGUAUGCUAUAGCUAACUAUGCAGUAUUUUUACAGUCAGUUGUAUAAUUUGGAUACAUAAUGCUAUAUGUUUCUAAAACAUAUUGCACAUCCUGCAGUACAAUUACCUGAAUGAACAAUUUCACCUCCGUUCAUUUAAGAAAUGUGAUUUAGCAAGCAACGCCGUUUUUCCGGGUACCCCAUUAUCCUUCUGUAGCAACACAAGAGCACUAGAGCAGCAAGAGUGACCCUUAAUGGAUCUCUAAGGAGAGCAGUUGGAAGCAAAUUGAUAGAGCAUGCAAUCCCAUAGAAAUAAAGUUUAGUUUAUAAUAUUGAACACAAUUCAACUAAUAUACGGGAGAGAUGAUUUCAAUAAAUAUGCCAGAAAUCACGCUGCUUGUAUUCUUGUCUCCUGUGAAGUUGUCCCCUGUGAUUAAAUUGAAUAUACAUUAACAAUCGCGUUCGUGAUGCUUCUCUCGCACAGGCAUAACGCU